rnacentral:rRNA from 1 species
AUUGAACGCUGGCGGCAUGCCUUACACAUGCAAGUCGAACGGAUUCAAGAGGCUUGCUUCUUGAGUUAGUGGCGAACGGGUGAGUAAAGCAUCGGAACGUACCCAGUUGUGGGGGAUAACGUAGCGAAAGUUACGCUAAUACCGCAUACGCACGGAGGUGGAAAGCGGGGGACCGAAAGGCCUCGCGCAAUUGGAGCGGCCGAUGUCGGAUUAGCUAGUUGGUGAGGUAAAGGCUCACCAAGGCGACGAUCCGUAGCUGGUCUGAGAGGACGACCAGCCACACUGGAACUGAGACACGGUCCAGACUCCUACGGGAGGCAGCAGUGGGGAAUUUUGGACAAUGGGCGAAAGCCUGACCCAGCCAUGCCGCGUGAGUGAAGAAGGCCUUCGGGGUGUAAAGCUCUUUCAGACGGAAAGAAAUCUUUCGGGUGAAUAUCCCGGAAGGAUGACGGUACCGUAAGAAGAAGCACCGGCUAACUACGUGCCAGCAGCCGCCGUAA